rnacentral:rRNA from 1 species
GACGAACGCUGGCGGCGUGCCUAACACAUGCAAGUCGAACGGACAGGCCCUGCUCUUGCGGGGCGCACGAGUGGCGAACGGGUGAGUAACACGCGAGUAUCCUGCACCUGUCUUUGGGAUAACAUCAGGAAACACGGGCUAAUAUCGGAUAGGAGCUACUGCUGCAUGGUGGGGGAUGGUAAGUUUCGGCGGUUGGGGAUGGACUCGCGGCUUACCGGCUUGAUGGUCGGGUAGUGGCUUGCCAAGGCUAUGACGGCUAGCCGGCCUGAGCGGGUGACCGGCGACAAUGGUACUGAGGUAGGGACCAGACGCCUACGGGACGCAGCAGUGGGAAAUAUUACAGAAUAGGCGGAAGCCUGAGGCGGCAGCGCCGCGUGCGUAAUAACGGCCUUCGGGUUAUAAACCACUUUCGCCUUUGAUGAAGCGUGAUUGACGGUAAUUAGUAAGAAAGCACCGGCUAACUACGUG